rnacentral:rRNA from 1 species
UACGAAGGGGGCUAGCGUUGCUCGGAAUUACUGGGCGUAAAGGGCGCGUAGGCGGACAUUUUAGUCAGAGGUGAAAGCCCAGGGCUCAACCUUGGAAUUGCCUUUGAUACUGGCUGUCUUGAGUUCGGGAGAGGUGAGUGGAAUGCCGAGUGUAGAGGUGAAAUUCGUAGAUAUUCGGCGGAACACCAGUGGCGAAGGCGGCUCACUGGCCCGAUACUGACGCUGAGGCGCGAAAGCGUGGGGAGCAAACAGG